GCCACGGUGGCACAAUCCGGUACUGCGCGAGAUUGCUAAUCUCGUCCCUUUGGGAUUCCCGGUUCAAAUCCGGGCCGUGGCG
rnacentral:tRNA from 1 species